GGACAGAGAGAGACAGGGGGGGAGACAGAGAGAGACACAGGGACAGGGGGAGAGAGACAGGGGGGAUAGAGAGAGACAGGGAUAGAGAGAGACAGGGGAUAGAGAGAGACAAGGGUAGAGAGAGACAGGGGUAGAGAGAGACAGGGGAUAGAGAGAGACAGGGGUAGAGAGAGACAAGGGUAGAGAGAGACAGGGGUAGAGAGAGACAGGGGUAGAGAGAGACAGGGGGUAGAGAGAGACAGGGGAUAGAGAGAGACAGGGAUAGAGAGAGACACGGGGUAGAGAGAGACAGGGAUAGAGAGAGACAGGGAUAGAGAGAGACAGGGGAUAGAGAGAGACAGGGAUAGAGAGAGACAGGGGAUAGAGAGAGACAGGGAUAGAGAGAGACAGGGGUAAAGAGAGACAGGGGAUAGAGAGAGACAGGGGAAGAGAGAGACAGGGGAUAGAGAGAGACAGGGGAUAGAGACAGACAGCGAUAGAGAGAGACAGGGGAUAGAGAGAGACAGGGAUAGAGACAGACAGC
ensembl:lncRNA